rnacentral:rRNA from 1 species
AUGGUGGUCGAGCCGUUGAACUCGCCCGUGCUCACCACCGUCCUCGCCUUCCUUCUCGUGGUGAUCACCCUCCUCGUCUCCACCAGGCGCAGCAGCAGUGCGCUGCGGCUGCCCCCGUCGCCGCGGGGCCUGCCGGUCGUCGGCCACCUCCACCUGCUCGGGAGCCUGCCGCACCGGAGCCUCCGGUCGCUGGCCGCGUCCCACGGCCCGGUCAUGCACCUGCGGCUCGGCCGCGUGCCCGCCGUCGUGGCCUCCUCCGCGGCCGCGGCGGAGGAGGCCAUGAAGACCCGCGACCUGGACUUCGCCGGCCGCCCCAGGCUCCUCAUGGUCGACCGCUUCUACUACGGCACCGGCGGCAUCGGCUUCGCGCCCUACGGCGACCACUGGCGCCAGGCGCGCCGCGUCUGCGCCGCCCACAUGCUCAGCGCGCGCCGCGUCGCGUCCCUGGGCCGCGUCCGGGCGCAGGAGGCCGCCGCGCUCGUCGGCCGGGUCCGCCGGGCUGGUUCCGGCGUCGUGAACCUGAGCGACAACCUCGUCGUCUACUCCAACGCGGUCAUCUCCCGCUGCACGCUCGGCGACGCGGACUGCGGGGUGGAAGGCGGCGGCGCGAGGCUGAGGAAGGCGUUCGGCGAGAUGGAGGAGCUCCUCGGAACGGUGCCCAUGGGGGAGACGGUGCCGUGGCUGGGAUGGGUGGACACGGUGACGGGACUGGAGCGGAGGGCGAGACGAGUCUUCCAGGAGAUGGACGGGCUGCUGGAGCGGGUCAUCACCGACCACCGCCAGCGACGCCGUUCCAUCAUCUUGGACGUGCUCGCCGCCGCCACGGACUCGACCUUCGCGCUCCUCGAGUGGGCGAUGGCGGAGCUCAUCAACCACCCGCACGAGAUGCGCAAGCUCCAGGCCGAGGACACCCGGCUACUGGGCCACGACGUGCCGGCGGGCACCCGGGUCCUGAUCAACGCCUGGGCCAUCGGCCGCGACCCGGCGACGUGGGGGCCCCGCGCCGAGGAGUUCGCGCCGGAGAGGUUCGUCGGGUACGGCGGCCUCGGCGGUGCCGGGCAGGACUUCUCGUUCCUGCCCUUCGGCGCCGGGAGAAGGGGCUGCCCCGGGGUGGAGUUCGCCAUGCUGUCCAACGAGCUGGCGCUGGCGAGCCUCGUGCAUGGCUUCGACUGGGAGCUUCCCGGCGGGAGGGCGCCGCCGGUGGACAUGAGCGAGCUGUACGGCCUCUCCGUGUGCCUCAAGGCGCCGCUGCUUCUGGCCGCCAAGCCGUGGUCGUCCAUGGAUAUGGAUGGCGUUGAGUGA